UACGGAAGGUCCGGGCGUUAUCCGGAUUUAUUGGGUUUAAAGGGAGCGCAGGCGGACUGUCAAGCGUGCCGUGAAAUCGCGGGGCUCAACCCCACCGAGCGGCGCGAACUGGCGUCUUGGUUGCGGGAAGGGGAGGCGGAACUCGUGGUGUAGCGGUGAAAUGCAUAGAUAUCACGAAGAACUCCGAUCGCGAAGGCAGCCUCCCGGCCCGUUAACGACGCUCAUGCUCGAAGGCGCGGGUAUCAAACAG
rnacentral:rRNA from 1 species